CAUUGGUCAAGCAGUUUUGAACCUAAUACAAGUUUCUGUGUAUUCAUUUGGGCCCAACUCAGGCGGGCAGCUGGCAUAAAGCACACACGUGGCAAUGGGGCUCAGGCGGCUUUUGGCAGAAAAAUUUAUUGUAACAGAGCUCCAUUAGCUUUCAAAGCACACACACAUCUGUCUCUGGGUUUUACCUGAAAACUGCUACAAACAGAAAUAGCAAAGCUAUAUUUAAGGAACGAUGUUUAUUUUUACAUUUUACUGCCAUUUAGGAAAUGGUAAUGAAUCUACUUUUAAACACAAUGUGUAAUUUUAAACUAACAUGAUAUACAAACCAUAGAGAAAUUGAAAGAAUGUACUUUGAAAGAUCUGAAAUGUUAGAAUAUCAUUAUGGCAUGAGGACAAUGGUAAGGUAGGCAGUGGCUCAUCUGGGGACAUAUUCACAGGGUUUGUUCUAAUUAUUAAUGUAAAAGGAGCUUGGUCACUUAAUUCCAUAAAGUGUGGACAUAAGUGCCACAGGCCGUUUGUCUGUUCCUCCCUCAUGUCACUCCAGGAACAGUGAUGUUUUGUAUUUUCCAUCUUUCAUGUUCGUAGAAAGUCACAACUUUUGUUUUUAGCUAAAAUCCUAUGAAUUUUUUUUUGUUUUUCUUUCUCCACUAUUUGCACAGGUGUUUAUCAUAGAAACCCAGCACUGGUAACUUUUUUUCUCAGUGUAGAAGAGGAGUGGGAAAAGCUAAGCUCACAGGACAUUGGGGCUCAUAAGUAGGUCAACAUGGAAGAGGUAGAGAGUACAUAGUUACUGGGCCAAGGUUUCUAGGCAGUGUGUGAAAUACCCUUAAUCCAUGCCCCUCAUUCCAUAGAGACAGGAGGGCACAUCCUGCCACUGUCUAGGAAGGGAAGGCACUGAGCUGAAACUGCACUAGGCAGAGGGCGUCUGACCAAAAUAUCUGGGAAUAGACGAGCAGUGUCUCACUUGUGUCAUUUUUUUUCACCCCAAGGAAUUUUUUAUCUCUUCAUGCAAGUUUUAUCUUCUCAAAUAAACACAUCUAAAUUCAAACUGAGCAUUAGGCAAAAAUCAUAGUUAUCAUGUGUAUUGAUUUCUCUAUUGUUCAUUUUCCUAACAACUUAGGCUCUAAUUACUGUUGCACUUUCUUUUGCAACAACUAUUAUUUCCCCCUUUGUUUUCAUUCCAAAUAGUACCAUUCUGCUGCAUGUCCUUGUCCAGUUGGUGUACAGUAUCUGUACUUUCAGUGCGUCAUUCUCGGACUCACAAUCACUCAGAUAAGUGUUUAAUCCUCACCUCUUUCUCCAUUCAAAUUUUUGUUACAAAUCCCACUCCUUGGUCCCUUUAUUCCAGAUGCUCCAGUUGCAUGUUUUCUACAAAAUUCUGAACUCUAUUGUGCUCAGUUCUUUCAAGAGAGCCCUUAGACAUUCACUUCUAAGAGAGUUCUUAAAUUUGUAAACAAUAUGUCCCAGAAGAAGUCUAAGCAAAUUAUAAGAGGUGUCAUUAGCAAUUCAAGAUUUGAGAAGAAGAGCUUGCUGUAUCUUAUAAACAGAUGGAAAGACAAAAGCACAGCAAAAUGAUUUAGGUUAGCUGCAUAAAAACCCAAGGUCUGUGUGCUGUUGAGAAAAUACAUUGAGAAGCGCUAGAUUGGUGUGAGUGGUCUUUUCUUAACUGAAAAAGCAGACACGUCAUGUGAAAUGCUUCAAGACAUCUGUUGCAACUAACUGUGUUCUCUUAAAAAAGGAAAGCACUUAAACCAAAUGUUUGUAGGAUGCCUGGAACCAAUAAGUGUAGUUCCUGGUUCCUAUUCCCACAUGAAUGAAAACAGGUUCUCAGACACAUGGUUAUCUCAUAAUGCACGCUCAUUUCAGUCCCUGCACUGACACACACUUCACGGAAAGAAAUGUGAUAGAGACAUAACAUGCUCAGGGUAAUAAGGCACACUGUGGCUACAAGGAGAUACUGAGUUACAGAUAGACAGCAAAGCCCUAAGAUCUCUGAUUUCUGUCCUUGUAAUCCCCAGAGGUCAGAGUACCUGCAUGUUUAUUGUCACUUAAUAAAGUGACAAAAUGCAUCCUUGUUUUAUUUUUCAUCCUCCAUGAGAAUAUGCUUGACUUUCUAGUUUAGCUCUUCGUUGUUUCUUUUUAUUAUUUUUUAUUAAGUCCAGAUUCUGCGAGUGGGUGGCAGAGAGGUAUAGAAGUGGCCUGAAGAAAAGACCAAGAGGGCUUCAGGAGACAGAUAAGGAUGUUUGCAGAUCAGAAAAUCACCCAUGAGCUCUAUUUCAGGGCGAUUCUACCAACUCACUACUUUGGCUUUAAACCUUCUGACCUUUGCUUUAUGAGUGGAUCUUAGUACUCAGCUCACUCAGAAAAUGUUCAUUGCAAUGAGUCGUGGGUCUGGUUCAAGUCCUCUGGCACACCAUCAUCACUGGACCCGCAUCAAAACUCCUGAUAUUUUUCUGUUGCCCUGAGUCAUGGAGAUCCUUCAGUUAUCUACACAGGACCGGUCCCUUCAUGCACUUCAGCAGGAGAUAGAUGAGGUUUUAGGGAACUCUUCUGAUUUAAAAGUGGGGACAAAAGCAUUGGUGUGUUGCUGCAAUUGAGUGAUAAAACAUGUAAAGAACAGUCCAGAACCUGGUGCAAGGCAGCUUGUUGAAUACAAUAUGAAUAUCUAAAGAAAGGGGAGACCAUGUACAUCUGAUACAGAAAAUGAAGGAAAUGGAAGUGUUAUGUUAAUCUGGAAAUUUUUCCAAGAUACAAAGCACAUGAGAGAGCAGUUUCUAAGUAUUAUUUUAAGAAAAGAUGUAGACCUAUUUUCACGCUCAUCUACGAUAGCUCUAAAAGACACACAGCUCAAUUCCAAGAUGCAAGAUGAAACACUCAAGCUAUCAUCAGUUUGCACUGUACAAUUCAAAAUUUUUAUUACCUACACUUUAUUUCCAAAGCAGUGAAAAAGCACUGAGGCAAACAUUGUUCAUUUUACACAAAUUCGAAAUUCCUCCAUGCGUUAGCUUAGUGAUCAAAAUAAAUAUUGAGCAUGUCCUGAGAAUGGACAAUGCAAGCAUAUUAUGCCAAUGAUUCUCAAUGGGUUGCAAAUUAUAUUGGCUGGCUGACUAAAGCAAUCACAUUAGGAUUAUAAUUAACAAAUUGCUGUUUCAGAUCAUUAUUUAAAGAUAAAACACACAAACCAGUGUCGUCGUUUGGCUAUAGAAGUAUUUAUGGCAUGACACUGAUAUAUAAUCCGUGGCCUGGCUAUAUUUGAAAAGUAACUUUCACGUGACAUGUUUAGGUUUAUACUUCUUUCUUAGGGUACAUAUGUCAUCAAAAGCAUCAAAAACUGGAGCCAGGUGUAGUGCCCCAUGCCUGUAAUUUCAACAUUAGGGAAACGGAUACAGGAGGAUCAGAAAAUCAAGGCAAAAUGAACAUGGAAUUGCAAGUAUCUCUGUUGCAGCAUAUGAAUGGAGCCUCUGGUAAAAUAACGUCCUGAAAAACAUUUCUGCCCAAGUCUAUCCGCACUUAGUGAUUCUGGAUACUGUGGGAUUUUAUGCAGGAGAAGAAAAUCUUUGGAUACCAUCAAAAUCGAUCAAGAUUCGAGUUGAAAAGACAACCCCCUCAACAAGGACAACUGACAGCCCAGUGCACAAGCCAGGGAAUGAUGCUCCAGCCUUUAGAGUGAGUCUUCAUAUUUUAAUCAAGAUGAUGCCUGACACACAUUCCAGAGGAUAACAUAACCAAGGAAAUCCAUCCAGGUUGUACUUGGACAUUUGCCUCUGAAGUCCUUCCCAAUCCUAUUAGACUGACAGUCAACACUAACCAUCACAGGUCUCCAUCUUACUUUUUGAGACACUGAACCCUGAGAUUCCUGAUUCUUCUAGACUGUAUGACCAGCAGACUCCAGGGAUCUUCCUAUCUCUGCUUCCCCAAUGCUGGGAUUAAAGCAGUUCCUGGGAGUCAAACCCACGCCUAUGCAUAAGCAAGCAUUCUACUACUGAACUGCAUCCAAAUCCCUAAGUGGACUCUUGACAAGAACGUCCCUGAACCUUGAGGUUUCAUGCCUUGCUAGUAACCAACAGCUCUCUAAUUGGAUUCAAGAGAAAUCAUGCUUGGGCUGACUGCUUUGGACAACCAAUUGAUUUUCUCUUCCCUUGGGAGAACCAUCUCACCUACUCCAAGAAGAAUACAGGAGAAUGAGUGAGGGGGGUAAAAUAACAAUAUGGACAUCUGAAAAAGCCACAAGGAACCAUACUAUAAUUUACUAAAAUAACUCAUAAUGCAUGUAGUUCAUUGUAUAAAUACACAUAUAUUUUUAAUGAAUUUUUCUCAUCUCUUCUGAUCCAAAGACCACCUAACCCCUAUACUAGACAUGAAAAGCUCUCCUUUAAGUUGUUCAGGAAUAUCUAAGAGACUUUGCAAACCAUACAGCCUAUUGAUGCUGCCCUUGGUUACCCACCACCCAGAAAUGGGAGAGGUGCAGCAUCUGGUUCAGCUCUCAAGAGAUCACACCAAUUGUUGCACAGUAGAGUGGAACCCAGAGAGACCAGCUGAAGGUCACCACAGCAGUCCAAAAGGAAAGCCAUAGUGCCAGAUUUCCAUCAGGAAAUGUGCACAAAUCCGACUUCUUUUGAAAUUUGAAGUACAUGAGAAGGACAAAGAACAGACACCCUUAAAGGUGACCCUUAGAAGGAGUCACCUGAUAAUAUGACGUUAUGUAUAAAAUAAAUCGUUUUGGUGUUUGACAUAA